rnacentral:rRNA from 1 species
GAUGAACGCUAGCGGGAGGCUUAACACAUGCAAGUCGUGGGGCAGCAUUAGGUAGCAAUACUUAGAUGGCGACCGGCGCACGGGUGAGUAACGCGUAUGCAACCUACCCAGUACAGGGGGAUAGCCCGGAGAAAUUCGGAUUAAUACCCCAUAAUGAUAUAAGAAGGCAUCUUUUGAUAUUUAAAGCUUCGGCGGUACUGGAUGGGCAUGCGUAAGAUUAGCUAGUUGGAAGGGUAACGGCCUACCAAGGCUCCGAUCUUUAGGGGUCCUGAGAGGGUGAUCCCCCACACUGGUACUGAGACACGGACCAGACUCCUACGGGAGGCAGCAGUGAGGAAUAUUGGUCAAUGGGCGCAAGCCUGAACCAGCCAUCCCGCGUGAAGGAAGAAUGCGCUAUGCGUUGUAAACUUCUUUUCCGGAGGAAUAAAAUCUUGUACGUGUACAGGACUGAAGGUACUCCGGGAAUAAGCAUCGGCUAAUUCCGUGCCAGCCGCCGCUGUAACAC